GGCAGGCAAGCGCGGAGUUGGCGUCGUCAUCUUAACAGCAUCUGUGGAGGCCAGCCAGCUGCUUUCGAAGACAUACCGACCGUGGUGCGUCGUCAAAGACGACGGCACUGUUGUAAGCGCUCACUGCACGUGCAUAGCAGGACUUGGAGAAUGCUGCACACACGUGGCUGCCCUAUUAUUCAACAUAGAAGCAGCCAUAAAAUAUGGGCUGAAUGACCCGUCUCCAACUGAGACAGCGUGCAGGUGGUCUGAGGUAUCCAGGAAAUCUAUGGUGGCACCAGUCAGCGAGAUAAAUUUUUUCAAGGCAAAGCCUGGACAACAAGUUCCUGAACCUGCCCCAAGGCAACAAGGGUCUAUUCCAACAUGGAGCUCUGAUAAAAUACACAGCUUCUUGCAGCACGUCAAGACAUUUGCCCCCAGCACACUUGUGUUGAGUUGCAUAACAGACAGUGAAAGUACGGAUUCUUCUCCUGAGACUGCUGCAGAAGAAAGGAAGACCAACCACCAGCACUAUUCAUCGCGAUCAGUAAUAGAUGACAUUUACAGCAAUAUUGACUUGAAUACUGCAAAAAAUGUUCAGCUCAGUAACGAAUGCUGUGAAGAAAUUGAGCAGUCGACCCGUGGGCAAUCACGGACACUUAGAUGGACCCACGAACGCAAAGGUAGAAUAACGGCCUCAGUUUUACAUCGUGUGCUAGUUUGUCGAAGUG